rnacentral:rRNA from 1 species
CUCAGGAUAGCUGGAACUUAUUGUGAAGUAGUUUUAUCAGGUAAAGCGAAUGAUUAGAGGCUUUGGGGAAGAAACUUCCUCGACCUAUUCUCAAACUUUAAAUAGGUAAGAUUUGAAGGAUACUUAAGUGAUCUUUCAAUCUCUUGAAUAUAAAGUUCUUAGUGGGCCAUUUUUGGUAAGCAGAACUGGCGAUGUGGGAUGAACCGAACGUUAAGUUAAAAGUGCCAAAUAAUACGCUCAUGAGAUACCAUAAAAGGUGUUGGUUCAUUUUGACAGCAGGACGGUGGCCAUGGAAGUCGGAACCCGCUAAGGAGUGUGUAACAACUCACCUGCCGAAUGAACUAGCCCUGAAAAUGGAUGGCGCUUAAGCGUAUAACUUAUACUUAACCCUUACUUGAAUUAUAAUAGCGAGUAAGGAGUAGGAGGGC